rnacentral:tRNA from 1 species
UGGAGUAUAGCUCUGUUGGUAAAGUACUUGCCUAGCAUACACAAAGCCCUGGGUUCUCAUCCCAGUACUCUAU